NCGCCGCGUGANGGAAUGAAGCCCUUCGGGNNGUAAACCGCUGUCAGGAGGGACGAUGGGACCGUGGGCUAAUACCUCACGGUCUUGACNGUACCUCCAGAGGAAGGGACGGCUAACUACGUGCCAGCAGCCGCGGUAAUACGUAGGUCCCGAACGUUGCGCGA
rnacentral:rRNA from 1 species